GAUGAACGCUGGCGGCGUGCUUAACACAUGCAAGUCGAACGAAGCACCUCUCCCGAAGAUUGACACAGCUUGCUGUAGAUUGAUUCAUUUGAGGUGACUGAGUGGCGGACGGGUGAGUAACGCGUGGGUAACCUGCCUCAUAGAGGGGGACAACAGUUGGAAACGACUGCUAAUACCGCAUAGUAAGAAGAAUUCGCAUGUUUCUUCUUGAAAGAUUUAUCGCUAUGAGAUGGACCCGCGUCUGAUUAGCUAGUUGGUAAGGUAACGGCUUACCAAGGCGACGAUCAGUAGCCGGCUUGAGAGAGUGAACGGCCACAUUGGGACUGAGACACGGCCCAAACUCCUACGGGAGGCAGCAGUGGGGAAUAUUGCACAAUGGGGGAAACCCUGAUGCAGCGACGCCGCGUGGAGGAGAAGGUUUUCGGAUUGUAAACUCCUGUCGUUAGGGACGAGUAAAUGGAACGGUACCUAACAAGAAAGCACGGCUAACUACGUG
rnacentral:rRNA from 1 species